ACAUCUUUCUGUGAGAAAUGAGGGCCGAUCCUGGGGCCAGAUGGAUUCCUAACACUCGGGCUGCAAAAAUAGGAUCAUGCUGUUACUCACCGAAUUUUACCAGACACUGCAGUUUCUACAAGGUCUGAGCACUGGGCUGCUCUCAGGGAUCCCUCAUGCCCUUGCAAGUUCUCAUGGACAGCUCCAAGUCCAGGAAUGCUCCGAGUCACCACCUGCUGCUCAGACACCCUCGUGGCAGCAUCACUUACACUCGUUUCAGCGGAGCCGCACCAAUUUAUACCACCUGAAGAUUUGGCCUGUAGUGUCUGUAAAAACUGAGUAUCUCAGCAGAAGAAAAACUCUGCUGCUAAUCUGUAAACUGUUUGAAGAACUAUGCUUUACCAUGGGCUGGAUUCUGCUCCAAAAUUACAUGUACUAAGUAGGUCCCCAGUCCCACAAUAGGAGCUGUGGAAGCAGACACUUACAUUUCUGAGAAAACAGCUGUAGGUUCAGUGCCUUGAGUGGAAAUGAGUCUGGAUUUGCUGCAUGCAAUCUCCUGUUAACAGUUCUGCUUAGAUUAUUCUUUCAGAAGAUUUGAAUAAUUUACUCCAGGCUAUGUGCACUGAAUUAUAUACAAACCUCAAAAGGAAAAAAAAAAAAAAAAGACUUUGGUACCAUUGUAAACCUAUUACUGUAUCAGAUGCGUCUCAACUGUGGCCAAAACUACUCACAAAAUAUAUAAGCCUUACAUUUGAACCUGUAAUGACACAGUGCAUUCAUUCUUUCCUCCCUUGCCCCUUGUGAACUAUUUCAAAAAUAACCCUGGAUAUUAGUGCUUUAUACACACAAUACUGUGUUUAGUCUUGCUGAGAAAUUCUUCUCUCAUGAACUAAUGUAGUUAACUUCAAAGGCUGUUUGGCCCUUCAAGUUCCUCAGUAGCUUUUUCUUUUAUACAUGUAGGAGAAGAAUGAUUAAAGUGAAGCAUCACUGGGAUGCAAAUCUCAAAUAUUACAUUGGUACGGACUUUCAGCCUUGCUUGCAUGAAUUUCAUGUACAUAUUCAAAAAUACAUGACAAAAUGUGCCCUUGUCUAGAUCACUAACCCAAAUUCUGUGUCACUCAUCGCCUCUUUCUGAGCGCUCACAAGAGGCAUACGUGAUACUUUAAAAACAGAUAAGUCUUGUGUUAUUCUACGCACCAGAGUGAAUUCCAGUCCUUGAGGAAGUACUGCACCUUCCUGAGGAGUUAACAUCAGGGCAGAAUUGCAGAUUAGUAACAGUUAAGGAUGGAAGAAAUCUGUAAGGCCAUUUGGUCUAGCCCCUUACCCCUGCAGGUUCACCUCUUACAGAAAUUUCUCUCAUCGCUUGUCUGAAUAUGGUUUGACUCCAAAACAGGUAGCCUCCAGUACUCUGCCUUGGAAGACUAUUCCACUGCUCCUUC
rnacentral:lncRNA from 1 species